ACGAAUGCCCCUAGUCAUGGGCGCAGGCUGAAUUGGCUGUGAUAUCGGUGUAUAAGACUCCUAGGGAUAAGUUGCAGUGUGUAUUUUGUUGCGCGACUACCAUCAUGAAUCUCUUUUCCAUGGCGUCGGAAAGAGGCAUACCUGCUGCCGACGAUCUGACUCCCGUGUCUACAGACUAAUCUGCCGUCGUUGUAUCGACUGUUCAAUAUGUAGACAGCUUUUACGGGAAUCGAUUGGAGGGAGAAGAACAAUAUUGGUGGACGCCGUUCUGCGCCGCGAUCGAGUUAAGACAAUGGAUUAACAGUUUCUCAAGAGUAUCACGAUAAAUAAGAUUAGAUUCGAUGCUGGUGAUAAUGUAGAAAUGUAUCAUAAUCAUAAUUUGACGAUUUCAUAAAGAAGAAGACCAAUAUCUUGUGUAAAGCUAGCUGAACAGUUUUAUGCUUCCAGUAUCAAUUAAAAUUCUUAAAUAGCCUCUUAAAUAGUCUAACUGUUAGUUCUUUCGCACGUUAUUAUGUAACAUUAGCAAAGACUGAAUUAGAUUAUACGUAAAGUGUGGCUUUAUCUUUAUUUGUAACUCUAUUGUACAAUAUGUCACAGGACAUCGAAAAAAAAAGAAACGUUUAGAUAUUCUAUAAUUUAUGUACAAUACAGAACUUAUAGAGAAUUGAUAACCAUUUAGCAGGAUAAACUGUGUUGGCGUACUCUUUCUACAUGCGCACCUUCCUCAAGAGCCGAGACUCGAACCAGAUCCGUGAAAAAUAUCGCCAAUUUCGUAGAGCUUUUGUACAGUUUUACUCUAGGAAUAUCGCGAGAGAAAGAAAGACUUCGGAGAUUUUUAUCUGAAUCGAUCAACAUAAAGAGAGAGCAUAGUAAAGAAGCUAUUAGCUUUCGAGAAUUUGAAUGCAUAAUACUUUGUUAUAAUACUAUGAGCGAAUUAGUUUACGUCACUCUGUCAAGUUUUAAUAUUAAAUUACUAAUAAUAUAUCGAUAUCGGUAGUUUAAUAAUAAUACAUUUAAAAGCGCUCAAUUUAAAAGUAGGGCAAUCCUAAUAAACGACUGUAAAAAAAAUUCAAGGUGGAACGCAAUGGACAAUCCGGUUGCUCUGACAUGCUAACUUAAAUGGCAAAAAGUACUUCUCAGCGGUAAUGACAUUUGAGUCUCUUUUAAUUGGGUUGUGGCAGGGCGUUUGAGAUAACCUGCUCUUCACCCUGCACAGCUGACGGACCUUCGGGAA